CCCUCCCCGCCCCACCGGAAUGUAGGUUGCUGUUCCCUUGGUCAUUUUUCACCAGUAUGUGGUCCCGGUAUUUCAUCAGUAUGCAUUGGUCCCGGUGUUCAGAUUGGCUUGCUCACAGCGCCAUCUGGCGUCCACACGUGGGAGCUGAGAGCAGCCAUAACAGGAAACUGGGGACAAAGCUGGUCCACAGCCGCGCACAGAAGGGACCACACUGGGAGCAAGACAGUAUCUGGUGGUAAGCCCGGCUGCUGACCCAGUGCUCCAGACAAAUGUAUGCUGAAGCGUGAUGAGGAGUAAUUUUGGUUCCUACAAUCCUGAGUACACUAUCUGGGAAAUCCCCAGACAAGAAUCCUGGAGUGUGUUUCCACGCCCUCCACCAAAAGAUCUUCCCAAUCAAGUGAUCAAACCCUCGUCUCUUAUGUCUCGUGCAUUGGCUGAUGAGUUCCUUACCACUAGUGCCAUCUUGGAAACCUAUUCCAUAUAUAAUUGCCCGGCCCCUGAGGCUCAGCUGUGGUUUUAGUCCCACCUCUGUGCGUGGACCACCUGUAGAAGUCUGUUCCUGAGGCUGCCCUGGAGUACUUGAGUCUGCAUUCACUAGAAGUCUGAUGGCAGCUAUGAACUCAGUUUAACAUCACUGACUGAGGAGACAUCUGACAGCUCCCUGGAUAUCUCCAGACCCCAUCCGAUUGGGUCUCCACUCCGUGCUGCCUGCCCCAUAGCUGUCAGGUUACCCAGCAUAGGAAAGUGUUAGAACAUUACCAGCUGCCUUGGAGAUCAAGCCCAACAAGCUCCACUCUGGUUCCCUUGACAAUCUGUAUUAGGUACUGAUCUUUUUAUUUUUCAUAUAAUGUACCAUUAUAUUUUGCAUUUAUAUAUUGGUAUCACACUCUUUUAUAGACUUGAUUUCUUACUAGUGAUGUAUAAUAACUUUCCAGUAUUCUCCCAGCUGUUUUUACUUCCAGUAGAUUUUAUUUCUACGAUCUGUGUUUUUUGAAUCCACAUCUCUCCUUCAUCAGAUCAGUUCAGUUCAGAUCAUUUCAAUAGUUCCGUCGUGUCCGACUCUUUGAGACCCCAUGAAUUGCAGCACGCCAGGCUUCCCUGUCCAUCACCAACACCCGGAGUUCACAAAAACUCAUGUCCAUCGAGUCGGUGAUGCCAUCCAGCCAUCUCGUCCUCUGUCGUCCACGUCUCCUCCUGCCCCCAAUCCCUCCUAGAAUCAGAGUCCUUUCCAAUGAGUCAGCUCUUCUCAUGAGGUGGCCGAAGUACUGUAGUUUCAGCUUUAGCAUCAUUCCCUCCAAAGAAAUCCCAGGGUUGAUCUCCUUCAGAAUGGAUUGAUUGGAACUCCUUGCAGUCCAAAGGACUCUCAAGAGUCUUCUCCAACACCACAGUUCAAAAGCAUCAAUUCUUCGGCACUGAGCUUUCUUCACAGUCCAACUCUCACAUCCAU
ensembl:lncRNA